AGCAGAAGAAGAAGAAAA
rnacentral:sRNA from 1 species